AAUGAACGUUGGCGGCGUGGAUUAGGCAUGCAAGUCGAGCGAGAACCGUAGCAAUACGGGGAAAGCGGCAAACGGGGUAGGAAUACGUCGGUACGUACCCCCAGGUCUGGGAUAGCCACGGGAAACUGUGGGUAAUACCGGAUAAUCUCUUCUUUCGGAAGGAAGUUGAGCAAAGGUGAGACUCCGUCUGGGGAGCGGCUGACGCAGUAUUAGCUAGUUGGUAGGGUAAUGGCCUACCAAGGCGAAGAGGCUUAGGGGGUGUGAGAGCAUGGCCCCCACCACCGGCACUGAGACACUGGCCAGACACUUACGGGUGGCUGCAGUCGAGAAUCUUCGGCAAUGGGCGCAAGCCUGACCGAGCGACGCCGCGUGCGGGAUGAAGGCCCUUGGGUUGUAAACCGCUGUCAGGGGGGAUGAAAUGCAUGGGGGUACUCCCCCAUGUUUGACAGAGCCCCAGAGGAAGCACGGGUUAAGUUCGUGCCAGCCGCCGCGGUAUUAC
rnacentral:rRNA from 1 species